GGAAUAUAAGAACCCGUCUCUUAACUUUUAACUAAAAAAACUAAAAACCGGUUUUUAAAUAAAAGUUUUAAGAGCCGGUUCUUAAAUUUUUUAGUUAAAAGUUAAAACAUGGAUUUUUAUAUUCU
rnacentral:pre_miRNA from 1 species